rnacentral:misc_RNA from 1 species
ACCUCGAUCCACCAUCUGUUUUGGUGGUCUCAGCCGGUUCAUCAUCCUGCUGCUCAUAAUCACUCUCUUCCUCCUCCUCAGUCUCACUGUCACCCUGAGUCCAAAAACGCGAAGCCAUCUUCUUCAACAGUAAGUUCAAGUACGAAAAACUGCAGGUUAAGAUGAAUUUUACAAAACGAUCGCUGAGAAGAUAGCCAAAAUACUAAAGUUGGAUUGGAGUUUUCG